GUGGGGAGUUGAGGGGAGAUGGCAAAGGGAGAAAUGCCAGAUAUAGGUGACGGAGGGAUGGAGGUAGCCAACCACCACGGCAUCUGUAUACCUAUGUAACAAUCCUGCAAGAUCUGCACAUGUACCCCAAAACUCAAAGUAUAAU